AUCAAAAUAAGGAGUCCAAAGCCAAAAUGGUUAAAAAAAUUUAUCAAAAAUUCCAAGUCAAACGAGGAGCAGUUGUUGACACCCAAUUUUGAACCUCCACAUUGUAUACUAAUCAUCGAGCUAUUGAAUAUUUGCGGGAUGCAAUGUACCUGUGCUGCAUCAUGACAACUCUAACUUUAAAUUGUCAUUUUCUCUAUUCAAUGCCCUACUUUGGAGUGUCAGCACCUUAUGCAUUCAAGGUGCCUUCUCCAGUUAUUAUUUGGAAAUGGAAAUUUGCCUGUUGAUACUAUUGAAUGUCUUACUUGCCGGAUACAAUGUAUCUGGGUUGCAUCACAAUAACUCAAACUUCAAAUUGUUAUUGCCUCUAUUUAGCUUGUUUUCCUUAUUGAAAUUCUUGUUAGGUGUUUUUAAUUUAACCUUUUGUUGCUAUUGUACGAUGUUUGGUUUCUUUAAUAUAUUCUUUUUUGUUAUAUACUUAGUGUUGUUUCUUUAAUAUUAUAACGACUCAGAAAAUUAUAGGUUAAACUAGAGCCUAAUCACUUUGGAUGUUAAGUUCGUAUUGAGGGUUCUUGUUGUGUAAUGUUGACCCGAGCUAAGGAGUUUAAUGAGUCAACGUUAAGGCACAUAUUAGACUCCAUGUUAAAGGGAUAUUUUUAAUAUUGGUUAAGGGUUGCAACGUUGUGUGCUUAGCCAAAAAGGAAGGUCUAAGCCAAAGGCCAAGGCUUGCCCAACCUUGGCCAAGCAGUGCCUCAUGACCACGACCACUUUAAAGACCAAUUGUGUUGACCAUGGACCGUGAAGUGGUCUGUGAAGAUCACUUAGUGGCAAGGUCUUGAGGCCAAGCUACUGCUCCAAGGUCCACGACCACUUCCAGGGCCAGUGGUUUUGACACAGACCAUGAAGUGGUCCGUCGAGAUGCCUUAGCAUCUUGGGGCAUGGCCAGGCAACUUGAGCUGCUGCCUAAGAGGACACUCGCACCUUCACGGACCGUAUAGGUGGACAUGGUCCGGUCCCUGAUAGGGCUGCAUAAGUUGAAGGUUCUUAAGUAAUUUCAUUUAUGUCUUUUAUUAAGUGGGUUGAUUUUAAAAGGUUUAUGUGAUACAUUUAAAUAGUUUUAAGUCCUUUGACUCAUUAUUUUCAAAACUCCAAAAGAUAGAAACCUCUUUUCCCAAAAUCAUCUCUCAAGGAAAACUCAAUUAGAAGUGAAGAACUCAAGGUUCCAAGGUCAAUCCUUCAAGCUUUUUCAAGGGAAUUUCGUGGAUUCUCAUCUAAUAGGUAUAUUGAUUUUUUAUCUAGGGCAAGCUUUCACCCUAGAGUCAAUUUUAAAAUAGUUUUCAAGUUUACAAUGUUUAUAAAAAAACCUAUUCUUACUCAAACUCAUGGGUUCUUGUAUCAAACAUUUUCAAAAUGAUAAACUACAGUUAUACUGAUUGUUUAUUGAUGAUUUUAAGGUGAAAAACUCUACGAACCCAUGAUUUCAAUAAAUUCUUAAAUUUGACUUAUGAAGUGGGUUUUAUGAUUAUGAUUGGAUGUUGAUGGAAUUAUGCAUAGGGUGAAUUGUAUUAUUGAUUUCUAUUAUUAUCGACAUCUAUAUAUGGUGAAUUGUUGAGGACUCGAGUAAUGCUGAUCAUGACUUUGGAUGAUGGUAAGUUAACCUAAUUUCAUUGUCAAUGUAGAAUUGAUAUUGAAUUGUGACAGGUUGAUGUUUUAAUCCACUUAUGGGGGAGGUGUUUACAUAUUGUAUGUAUUGUGAUCAUGGUCUUGAAGGCAUUCAAUGGUGAAUUGGAGUAUUAUCAUGCUAAUGUAUAAUGUGAAGGUGUUCAUGUGAUCUCAAGUUUGACAAGAAAUUUGAGGAACUAGUUAUAUUGAUAAAGGAAAAUCACUCCUAGUUGAUGCAAUUUGACGCUAGAAAAACAUCAACACUGACACUAAAUCAAGCACAUUUUAGUUUGAGAGACAACCAUCUCCACCAAUACAGAUUGAUCUUGCUGAUAUGGGUGGUGUAGCUGAGGAUGAUGUUGGUGUUUCUGGUAACGAGAGUGAACAUCAAGUCAGGGUAUGUAGCUGAGAAUGGUGUUGGUGUUUCUACUAACGAGGGCGAACAUCAAGUCACUGAUGUUGCGGUGGAUGUAGUUGAUGAUAUUGUUGGUGUUUCUGUUAAUGAGGGUGGACAACUAGUCAAUGUUAAUCCAAAUUAAUGAACAAGAAACGAAGGACGUUACAGAACUCAACGAUCCUAACAAGGUGUCAGUUCCUACAUAUCAAAGUACACAUGUUGAUACUGAAGCCAAUGAUCCUGAUAAGGAUGGUGUAGCACAUCAAUCACAUCAAGAUUUAAAUGAACCUAUCAUGGAUCAAGAUGGUGCUGACACAGUUCAACACAACAUCCCUCACGUUUUGCUCGAUUAAACAACAACGGAUACAUCGGUAGAUUUUUCAAUUAUGCUUUAUGACACAAACUUUCAUUACAUACAAAUUUACUAAAAAAUCAUUAUAUCAUAAUAUAUUGGAUUCUUCCACAUCAACAACAAUAUCACCAUCAACUCAAGCAGCAAUAAAUGUACUUAUCUAAGAUCUGGGGAAAAAUCUUACUACUGUUAGACCAUUGUAUGUUUACAAUCCACAGAAUUUAAUUAGCAGCAAGUACUUGUUGACUGAUAGUUAAUUACCCACUAACAUUUCAAUGACCGAGAUUGGAAUCAGAAGCGAUUCAAUUACUCCUGCGCCUAGAAAUAGAAUACCUUCGAGAAAUAUUCAAUCUCCAUAUUGUACUUAUUUUGGAUCAAGAGAGAAGAAAAAGGAGAAAUUGAAGGUUGUUAUUAGUCUCUAUUUUCCAUUUGAAGGAUGUGGGAUUACAGAUAAAGUUUCGUCGAAACUUAUUAAUGAUUAUAUGAAGUGGUUAUCAAGGGGGAUCCUCAAAAAUCAUGACAAUAAGUAAGUCUUAUACAUAUAUUUUGCAAAUAUUUGGGUUAAUUUAUUUUGUUCAUAACCAAUUCAUAAUACGAAUGUAUGUUUCUGAUACAUUGUCUAUAAUUUGUCUUUAAGUCACUCUUAUGUAUCACGCAUAUCUAGUCAAUGUUAUGUAUCACACACAUUUAGUCACUGUUAUGUAUCAUUUGUGUAUGAACCCAUCAAACGAUAAAUACAGAUCAAAAUAGUCUUAUUUGGGAUUUAAGAUGAUGGACUUUGUUGUUGCUUUUCCAAUAAAUAAGAAUUGAUUUUAUGACUUGUCACAACCAAACAAAUAUUGGACUGAUGAGGUAAAGUUCUUAAACUAAUUAUCAAAUGUGUAU